rnacentral:misc_RNA from 1 species
AAGUCGUAACAAGGUUUCCGUAGGUGAACCUGCGGAAGGAUCAUUAACACGUAUCCACGUUUGAUCAACCCCCCCCUCUGUGCACCUGAUUAUAAUAUAUCAUAUAUGGGUCUUUAUGUAUUCUCCUGAUGGAGUUAUAUAUUGAUUUGUAUUUUGAUGUAUUCUUUUCUAUACCCCAUUUUUGACUCACCGAACCGACCCCAAGUCGACUAAUUUAACCCGGCGAGACGUCUUAAUUGGCGGUUUGUCGAACCAUAUGGAUUUUCCACAUGAGUGAACGCACAACUCUUAGCAAUGGAUAUCUUGGUUCUC